UACGUAGGGUGCGAGCGUUGUCCGGAAUUAUUGGGCGUAAAGAGCUCGUAGGCGGUUUGUCGCGUCGACUGUGAAAACCCGGGGCUUAACCUCGGGCCUGCAGUCGAUACGGGCAGACUAGAGUUCGGUAGGGGAGACUGGAAUUCCUGGUGUAGCGGUGAAAUGCGCAGAUAUCAGGAGGAACACCGGUGGCGAAGGCGGGUCUCUGGGCCGAUACUGACGCUGAGGAGCGAAAGCGUGGGGAGCGAUCCGG
rnacentral:rRNA from 1 species